AGCUAGGUCACUGCAUUAGUGAGAUAGCUAGGACACUGCAUUAGUGAGAUAGCUAGGACACUGCAUUAGUGAGAUAGCUAGGACACUGCAUUAGUGAGAUAGCUAGGUCACUGCAUUAGUGAGAUAGCUAGGACACUGCAUUAGUGAGAUAGCUAGGUCACUGCAUUAGUGAGAUAGCUAGGUCACUGCAUUAGUGAGAUAGCUAGGACACUACAUUAGUGAGAUAGCUAGGACACUGCAUUAGUGAGAUAGCUAGGACACUACAUUAGUGAGAUAGCUCGGUCACUGCAUUAGUGAGAUAGCUAGGACACUACAUUAGUGAGAUAGCUAGGACACUGCAUUAGUGAGAUAGCUAGGUCACUGCAUUAGUGAGAUAGCUAGGUCACUGCAUUAGUGAGAUAGCUAGGACACUACAUUAGUGAGAUAGCUAGGUCACUGCAUUAGUGAGAUAGCUAGGUCACUACAUUAGUGAGAUAGCUAGGACACUGCAUUAGUGAGAUAGCUAGGUCACUGCAUUAGUGAGAUAGCUAGGACACUACAUUAGUGAGAUAGCUAGGACACUGCAUUAGUGAGAUAGCUAGGACACUGCAUUAGUGAGAUAGCUAGGUCACUGCAUUAGUGAGAUAGCUAGGUCACUGCAUUAGUGAGAUAGCUAGGACACUGCAUGUUAGGACACUACAGCUAGGACACUACAUUAGUGAGAUAGCUAGGACACUGCAUUAGUGAGAUAGCUAGGACACUACAUUAGUGAGAUAGCUAGGACACUACAUUAGUGAGAUAGCUAGGUCACUACAUUAGUGAGAUAGCUAGGACACUGCAUUAGUGAGAUAGCUAGGACACUGCAUGUUAGGACACUACACUACGGCACUAUAACUGGCAAGAAUUCUACCCUGUCUUUCUUGUAGUGUUAAAUACGGUUUGUUCAUUAGGAAGGGCAUGUACCUAGGAAGAAAGGAAUGUAUGUGGGGGUAGAAGGAGAACGGAGAGGAGCAUUGGAACUGACCUGGAUGUAAAUCUGUGGAGAUAAGAGAGGACAGGGAGAGCCCCUCCAGAGCUCUAGUAUCUGGGGGAGCCUGGAACUGUCAGCUGAGUGGUAAUAAACUAUGGUGAGACUCAUGAGAAAAUCCCUAUGUUGGUGUGUGUGUAUGGAUGGAUGUUUAGGAUGGUAUCAUUUCUUACCUUUAACUAGGCAAGUCUGUUAAGAACAAAUUCUUAUUUUCAAUGACGGCCUAGGAACAGUGGGUUAACUGCCUGUUCAGGGGCAGAACGACAGAUUUGUACCUUGUCAGCUCGGGGGUUUGAACUCGCAACCUUCCGGUUACUAGUCCAACGCUCUAACCACUAGACUACCCGGCCGCCUCUACACUCUAACCACUAGGCUACC